rfam:Sus scrofa isolate TJ Tabasco breed Duroc chromosome 4, whole genome shotgun sequence.
GGGUAUGAGAGUGAUCUGGUUGCAAAAUAUGUCACCCCAUUGAUCACCAGGGUUAAUUCAGCUGAUCUGGCUGGUUGGACUGGUGUCCCCUUCCUUCCUCACUGCUCCAUGCGCAUCCUUCCUCAAGCUGCAUGUUUGGUGAAAGAGAAUGACCUUCCCCAAUAUAAGAGGACUGCUCUUUAGUCAAGAGUAUAGGAGUAGCUGAGAUCCCCUGCUAGAACCUCCAAACAAGCUCUUAAAAUAAAAUAAAUAGUUUUGUACUUCAAAGGAUCUCAUCAAGAGAGUGAAAGGCAAUUCUUACAAGCUGAAAUGUUUGUGCCU